rnacentral:rRNA from 1 species
CCUACGGGAGGCAGCAGUGGGGGAUAUUGCACAAUGGGGGGAACCCUGAUGCAGCGACGCCGCGUGGGUGAAGGAGCGUUUCGGCGCGUAAAGCCCUAUCGGCAGGGAAGAAGGAGGACGGUACCUGACUAAGAAGCCCCGGCUAACUACGUGCCAGCAGCCGCGGUAAUCCGUAGGGGGCAAGCGUUGUCCGGAUUUACUGGGUGAAAGGGGGGCGCAGACGGCAGCGCAAGCCGUGAGUGAAAGCCCGGGGUUCAACCCCGGGACUGCUCUGGGAACUGCGCGGCUGGAGUGCAGGAGGGGCAGGUGGAAUUCCUGGUGUAGCGGUGAAAGGCGGAGAGAUCAGGAGGAACACCAGUGGCGAAGGCGGCCUGCUGGACUGCGACUGACGUUGAGGCCCGAAAGCGUGGGGAGCAAACAGGAUUAGAUACCCUAGUAGUC